AAAUGGGCAGCUCACUGGCACUCAUCCCUGGUGGUCUCCUGCCAUGUGAUGGCAAGCUGGCAAGCGGAAGGAGGCAAUGGCCCGGUGCUGGGAUGCUGUGGAGCAAGGAGAAGGCAAGUACAAAGUUUACUUGCUGGUGGGAUCGCUACUUGAAGGCGACUGAUAUUCAGCUCUGAAGCUAGUUGAUGUCUGGCAAUGGACCUGGCGAGGCUGCAGCUGGUGGAUGGUGUGAGGAGUUUUCAUUCAGGCUAGUGGAUGCCACGAGGCUAGGCUGGCUGAGAUGGAUGCAAACUGGUUUGGAAGCCUUGUUUGUGAACAGGCAGCCAAACAGAGGAUGAGUCGGGGGGGGGAUGCUGCGGAUGGGGGCCAUCCCACUCACCUGUUUGCCUUUGCCUUACAGGGAUGUCUGGAGCCGGUGAGGUUUUCCCCAAGUCCAGCCUUCAAAGUCAUGAAGAGAACCGCAGGACGUCCCUAUUUAAAUUGGAGAAAUGAACCUGAAAAACUGACAGUGAGCUAUGGACAAGGCCGUGGCCAGACCUGAGCGAAGGAGCUUUGAAGGGAGACUGCAGGCGGACAUCUGCUGCAUUGCAAGUGAUGGGGCAGUGGGGAGAGAGAAGAAAAUGAGGGCCACAUUAGGCGCACCAUUGGAAGUGCUAUGAAGACGCUUUGAACAGGAAUGGCUUCUCCUCAGGGAUUCUGGGAACUGUAGGUGGUUAAGGGGACGGAGAUUUGCUAGGGGGGUUACGUUUAGGGUAGGGGUUAGGGGUAGGGGUAGGGGUUCCCUUCUUGCCAGGGAACUCUGGGAAUUGUAGCUAUAGUUAAGGGUUAGAGUUAGGGUUAGCGUCAGGUGUAGGGUUAGGGUUCCCUUCUUGCCAGGGAACUCUGGGAGUUGUAGCUCUAGUUAAGUGUUAAGGGUUAGCAUUAGAGUUAGGGUUAGCGUCAGGGGUAGGGGUAGGAGUAGAGUUCCCUUCUUGGCAGGGAACUCUGGGAGGGGAGCAGGGCUGUCUCCUAACAGCUCUCUGCACCCUUUUCAAACUAUAGCUCCCAGAUUCUUUGGGGAAGAAGCCAUGAGUGUUUAAAGCGGCUUCAUAGCGCUUUAAAUGGUGUGGAUGUGGCCCUUGCCUCCCUCACCCCACUGCCUCUUAUUAUUGAGGAAUCGAAAGGAUUUCCCCACUCAAAUCUCUCGGAAACAGGAAGAAGAAAGACUUUGCAUCUGAUGCCAUUUUGAAAUGUCUUAACUUAAAAUGCCAAUAAAAGUAUUUGGAUUGUA